rnacentral:lncRNA from 1 species
CUAAACCUUGGCUUUGAUACCAAUUUUUUGGUGAUCAAACCAUAUAAGCAACAAACAAGUAAAAUAGAGAAGAUCAAACACAAAUAUAUACGUGGAAAACUCUUCUGAAGAGGAUAAAAAACCAUGGGCAAAUGAGGUUUCAACUUUUCUCUAAAUGAGUAAACAAAGGAGAGUAUAAUAUCGAGAAAAUAAACUUAAAUGUAUUAAACAUACAAACCCAAAACUUGAACACAAAGCUAUCACUCGGGAACAAAAUUCUCUCCAUAGUUACCAUAAAACUCUCACCAAA